rnacentral:rRNA from 1 species
GACAGAGGGUGCAAACGUUGUUCGGAAUUACUGGGCGUAAAGCGAGUGUAGGCGGUGUGGUAAGUCGGAUGUGAAAGCCCCGGGCUCAACCCGGGAAGUGCACUCGAUACUGCCACGCUAGAGUAUCGGAGAGGUUGGUGGAAUUCUCGGUGUAGAGGUGAAAUUCGUAGAUAUCGAGAGGAACACCGGUGGCGAAGGCGGCCAACUGGACGAAUACUGACGCUGAGACGCGAAAGCGUGGGGAGCGAACAGG